AACUGGGAUUAGAUACCCCACUAUGCCACACCAUAAAUUUCACCUACACUUAAAACGCCAGGGUACUACGAGCCCCGCUUAAAACCCAAAGGAUUUGACGGUGUUCCACCCAACUAGAGGAGCCUGUUCUAUAAUCGACAAUCCACGAUCUACCUAACCAUUUUUUGCUACUCAGCCUGUAUACCUCCGUCGUAAGCUUAUCAUUUGAAUGAAGAAAAGUAAGCACAAGGACUAAGAGCCAAAACGUCAGGUCAAGGUGCAGCUUAUAAAAUGGAAGAAAUGAGCUACAAUUUCUAAUUUAGAACACACGAAUUACUGCAUGAAACAAAGUCAUGAAGGUGGAUUUAGCAGUAAGUAAGGAAUAGAGAGCCUUACUUAAUUUGGCCCUGGAACGUGUACACACCGCCCGUCACCCU
rnacentral:rRNA from 1 species